CAGAACACUGGAUCACCAGCCUGUGUCGUUACCCGGUUACCGUAACUGUCACGGCGACCAGAUCGCCACGGUGAUAUCCCACGCCCCGCCCCCCCCCCCCCCCGGCAACCGGAUACGAAGGAACUGAUCAGAUGGACCUGAUUAAUUAACGAGACUAUGUCCUACAUCACACACACACACACACACACACACACACUACACACACACACACACACACACACACACACACACACACACACACACAGACACAGACACAGACACACACACACACACACACACACACACUACACACACACACACACACACACACAGACACAGACACAGACACACACACACACAGACACAGACACAGACACACACACAGACACACACACACACACACACACACACAUACACACACACACACACACACACACAGACACACACACACACACACACACACCACGGACACACACACACACACACAGACACACACACACACACACACAGACACACACACCACAAGGACACACACACAACAGACACACACACACACCACAAUAACACACACACACACACACCACGGGGACUCACACACACACACACACACACACACCACGAACACACACACACACACAGACACACACCACGAACGCACACACACACACACACACACACACACACACACACCACGGACACACACACACACACCACGAACACACACACACACACAGACGCACACACACACACACACACAGACACACACACCACAAGGACACACACACAACAGACACACACACACACCACAAGGACACACACACACACACACAUCACGGGGACUCACACACACACACACACACACACACACCACGAACACACACACACACACAGACACAGACACACACACCACGAACGCACACACACACACACACACACACACACACACACACACACACACACCACGGACACUCACACACACACACCACGAACACACACACACACACACACACACAGACACACACACACACACACACACACACACACACACACACACACACACACACAAGACCUCCAAGACAUGCUAACCUCUCCUGUUAUUGGUAAUGGUAA
rnacentral:lncRNA from 1 species